rnacentral:rRNA from 1 species
AGUGAACGCUGGCGGUAGGCCUAACACAUGCAAGUCGAACGGCAGCACAGUAAGAGCUUGCUCUUACGGGUGGCGAGUGGCGGACGGGUGAGGAAUACAUCGGAAUCUACUUUUUCGUGGGGGAUAACGUAGGGAAACUUACGCUAAUACCGCAUACGACCUACGGGUGAAAGCAGGGGAUCUUCGGACCUUGCGCGAUUGAAUGAGCCGAUGUCGGAUUAGCUAGUUGGCGGGGUAAAGGCCCACCAAGGCGACGAUCCGUAGCUGGUCUGAGAGGAUGAUCGGCCACACGGAAACGGGGACACGGUCCGAAUUCCUACGGGGGCCGGCGUUGGGAAAUUUUGAACAAUGGGCGCAGGCCUAUUCAGGCCUAACCGCUGGGGUGAAGAAGGCCUUCGGUUUGUAAACCCCUUUUGUUGGAAAGAAAAGCAGCAGGUUAAUACCCCGCUGUUCUGACGGUACCCAAAGAAUAAGCACCGGCUAACUUCGUG